CUAAGGAGAAACCAAGCACCAGUAUGGUAUGUACUCACCCACCACUCACACAGCUAUUAAAGAGACUAAAAUGAAAUAAAAAACUUGCAGGUUCCCUGUGGAGCCCUGGCAAUGAAAACACCAAUGCCCACAUGGAAGAACUACAGGUAGGUAGAAAGAACCAUGCCAGAACUUCUGAUUCACUGCAUUUUCUCCUUUCCCACAGGGAAAGCAGCCAGCCUGCUGCAAGCUAGGCUGGGGCCAGGUCCAAGUUAAGCAGAUUCCAGGUCGCUGGGCUCCUCCAGGUUUUUUAUCAGCUUGAGGCCACCAAUCUGACAAGCCCACCAGGAUGGUCUCUUUAUGAUGAUGCACAUCUCACCUUCAAAUCCCUGACCAAAGUCAACUGCAAAUGUUCUACUGGAAGACUCAGCUGGAUACCUAUGGCAGACCAUGCCCACCACUGAUGGAAAUGCUGAACACCAUGGUUCAACUCGGACAGGAAUUGUUCUCCAGGAACAACACAGACAUUUUUGCACAACACAAGCAGAAUUAAUCCACACAAGUUAAGUAUUGCCGACACAUUUCAUAGAUACGGGUGUAAAAUUCAUGGACUUGCAAGUUAAAAGGCAGGUUUAUGCAAGCAUCAAAAUAUGAUUGUAUCAUGGGGGAAAAACAUACAGCCAAACCAAAGCAAUUACAUGAACGCAAAACAAACCCCAUUUCUUUGAUUAUUUAUUAGAUGGAUAAAGAAUUUAUUAGUGGAUACACCUCAUAUUCUCUAACUAGACAAUACACACAUCCCUUUCCAUGCUCCUGUAGAUUCCCUGCCUGAGUUAUGCCACUGGAAAGGACUGUGACAAAAUGCGUGGUUGUAUGGAUCUGUGCUUCCAUAAAAAGCUGCCCAUUUCUGAUACACCAGGGAAGUAACAGUUGGUAAUUCCUAGAUGUGAAAUCGAUUUCCCCUAAAAAAAGGGCCUGAAUUCCUAGAGUUGCAAAUAACAGGGAUUUACAGGAUGCUGCCCCUAGGCCGUGCUCCCUCCGUCCUCUCAAAGCCUGUCCCUUGUCACCCUGCUCGCCUCACACACUGCAGACACCACACACAACCUGCCAAGAGGCCACACACAAGAGGCUGCUACAUCUCCCUGCCCUGCUGUGCUGGCCUCAAGGUUUUCCUGAGCACUCAAGAAGCCCAGGGAAGGGGUUUUGAGGUUUGGAGAGAACCCUCCUAGAACAGUACCAACGUGGCCAGCACGGACUGAAACACCAGGAUGGGGUGACUUUCCUGUUCAGUCUGAGAAAUACAAGUAUUCCUCCUCCAGGCUAUUCAAUUUUUCCCGCACUACUUCUUCUGCUCCCUAGUGAGAGCAGCGGCUCCUUGCCCAGCAUUAGACACAGCCCAUCAGCCUCUGCUCAGAGUGUGAACCCAAAGCCAGCAUCUGUCACGCUCCCCAUCACAUGCUGCACCAUUUACUUCCUCACUGCUGCAGAACCCACUGGCCAUGAGCCUAAACCCAAAUGUGAUCAGGCCCAGGCAGGGAUCCUGCUCCUGAACAGACAUAAGGUUUAGUGUCACUUGGAUUUUAUUAGUCUGGACAAAAUAGAAACUGGCAUUUUCACGUAUUGUCAGCUUCAGGCGGCUGAAAGUUUUGCUGGAAGGCUGCUUGGUAACAAACUAGGAGAGAUAGCUGCCUGCAGGACUCAAGAGCAGUGUUUUGUGCUGCAGCAGAUCAAUUCCAGCCUUGCAGCACUGACUCUGGAGCUUUCAUCCCUCUCGGGUCCGCAGGCAGCAUCUCCUUGGUGGUGGGAGCUGGAGGAGCACACCUGGCACCUCAGGGGAGAAACUGGAAGAGCAGAGAAACAACCAGACUAAGCAACGAGCUGUGAGAACACAGAGAAGGGCUCAGCCUCUGAGACAGUCACUGCUUUUUCCUACAAGUGUUCUACAAGCUUCAGAAACACACAGGAGAAGGUACAGCGUUGGAAUGAUGCACUACCAAAGACCUCACCAAUACUGGGGCAGGGAUUAUUCCCCCUCUGAAAAUCCAGACUGAAGUUCUAUUGCAGAAACCAAAGUGGACACCUCAGAGCCCUCAGCAUGAAACCACACAGCUCAGCCAGCGACCUCUGACACUACCAGAGCACUGGGAAGCUCCGGGGAAAGGUUUUUCCCAAAAUAAUGCUGGAAUAACUCUCCUAGAACAACACACCUGCUUCUGCCUUGUUGUGUCAGUGCUGCCCCAUGGGCGCUCACUCACACCUCAGUCACAGCACACCCAUGUCACCUGCAUGGUGCCACAAGGCAGCAGUUCACAUGCCCAUCCCAAAAGGGAUGGGAACAUGUUCCCCCACGCUACAGCCGUGCAAUUACAGUACGUGGCUACAGGGACAUGCAGAUCCCACAGAAACAGCCCACAAGAAGGGUUUGUGUAAAAGAGGCCCUCACACGACAGCUCAACACAAGCAGAAGUUGCUAUGGCUGCGAUGCCUGAAGGGAGGUAAAGGAGGAACUUAAAGGCACGGUUUGAGAAAUAAAAUAUCAGAGGUCAGCAAGGAUCUAGAGCUGGAAGACGGUUUGGAAAGUAUGGAAAAGUAACCACAGCCGAGCCAAUGCAGAGCACAACCCCAGGUGUGUCAGCACCGAGUCCUGACUGAGUAGCCAAGGCAGCUUUGAUCCCAAAGAGCCAAGCAUUAAUCCCAAACCCCAGCUCACUGGAGACUGCUGUUCUCUGGAAAGCCUGGCUAGGACUGAUGCAUACACAUCACAUGCACAGCACAGGGGACUCUGCACUGAUGCACAGAACACCCCUGGGUGGUGAUGGUAGCUCGAGCGUUGUGACACCAGAGCACACACUGCUCUCCCACCUCCUGCAUCAGCCAGAGCUGGGAUUCAUUAAUUUCCAAAAACCAGGCAGACUUGGCAACAGACUCCGGGCUUGGGUCUCGGUAUUGCCAAUAAUUCACGUGCAGGGAACUGGCUUAGACACUCCUGCAUUUUUCAUGAGACAAUCCCACACUGAGGCAACUCUCAAGGUUUUGUCUCCAAUUGAAGAAAACUUUUCCAAUUUCCACAGCAUGUAUGAAUGGUUAAUCACACCCACUGUUAUCAGUAUGUUUCUGUAAUCAGCAAUUUCAAUCAAUGCUGCAAUAAUUUCAUUUAUUGUGAGAGUUUGAGGGCUAGAAAUGCACAGCAAAAGCUGGAAUUAAAAAUUCACCCCUGACUCCAGAAUCUCUGAUUUAAAAAAAAAGAUGAACCCUCUCUCAGAUUAAAUAUUGUGGACCUUGAUGAAAUCAUGAGAAUUGACAAUACCAAGCCAUUUACUGUUCAUCUGUUACAGGUUGUAAAUAUCACUAUCUCCCAGGAGAAGGUCACUUUGGAGCAAUAUCCCAUUCACACAUAGUCUGGAAUCAUGCUUCUAUGAAACACAACUGAAAGGAACUGAAGACAAAAGCUUAGUCAAAAUUCCUGAAAAAAAACUACUGUGUACAAAACUAAAGAAAAAACCAAAACCCUGAAAGACGCAGAGAAAGGAAAAUUUCAGCAGAAAUGGAAGACCUUUCAGCAAAAGUGCAGAAGGCACCUUUCACUGGAAUUACACAGGCUAAGCAAGUGGCUGAAAUAGUGAAAAUAAGCAAGCAUUAAAAUACAGAAAUCCUCUAGAAAAAGGACUUUUGCAUAUAGGAUUUCCUGUGCUGGGCAUGGGCACCCUUUGGUUAGCCUUUUCCCGAGAGGAUUAACCUGUCCCUGAUGGGGAGCAGAGAAGGAAUUCAGGGUGCUGCUGCAGGGGGCUUACAGUAGGGAUUGGCUAGAAAUAGUUUAAAAAAUAUUUACAGGUCUGUAAAUCCUCCAAACAGAAAAUAUAAAACUGCAUUAGAACUGGGGUAGAAAAGAAAGAAUCCUACCACAAAAUCCUGCAGAUUCCCUCUGUCUGACAGGAAGCCUGACUGUGCAAAUUCCAGGAAUCCAGCUUGCUGCUCCCACUUUGUACCUUCUUCAGAAAGACUGUUUUAUGACAGAGUCCUAUUGGAAGUAGGUACGGGACACAGCAAGAGCCAGUUCUCUUGCUAAAACAUUUGCUAUCAAGUUUGCAUUCAGCUAAAGACCAGCUGGGGAAGAGGGGAAUAAGCCCAGCUGAUGAGUUUUCCUGUGGAAUUAAUUUCACUCCAUUCAUGUCGUUUUAUCAGCCAGUUGUUGCCUCAGAAGAACUAUGUGCAACAAUCAGUGGCGGUAAGGAGACUUGGCUCUGCUUCGUCUUGCUCUUCCACGGAGGAGGUUGGCAGCACCUGCAGAAUUAGAAACUGCUGUUCUUAAAUUCACCAUUC